rnacentral:rRNA from 1 species
CCUACGGGAGGCAGCAGUGGGGAAUAUUGCGCAAUGGGCGAAAGCCUGACCCAGCGACGCCGCGUGAGGGAUGAAGGCCUUCGGAUCGUAAACCUCUGUUAGCAGGGAAGAACGGUCACUGUGCUAAUCAGCUGUUAAUUGACGGUACCUGCCAAGAAAGCCACGGCUAACUCCGUGCCAGCAGCCGCGGUAAUCCGGAGGGUGCGAGCGUUAUUCGGAAUGACUGGGCGUAAAGGGCUCGUAGGCGGUAUGGCAAGUCAAGGGUGAAAUCCCCGAGCUCAACGCAGGAACUGCCUUUGAAACUGGCAAACUGGAGUGUGUGAGAGGAUAGUGGAAUUCCAGGUGUAGGAGUGAAAUGCGUAGAUAUCUGGAGGAACAUCAGUGGCGAAGGCGACUAUCUGGCACAUAACUGACGCUGAGGAACGAAAGCGUGGGUAGCAAACAGGAUUAGAUACCCUAGUAGUC